CUACGGAUGGUGCGAGCGUUGUUCGGAAUUACUGGGCGUAAAGGGCGCGCAGGCGGCGAUGUAAGUCAAAUGUGAAAGUCCUCGGCUUAACCGGGGAAGUGCAUCUGAAACUGCAUUGCUUGAGUAUGGGAGAGGAAAGUGGAAUUCCCGGUGUAGAGGUGAAAUUCGUAGAGAUCGGGAGGAAUACCGGUGGCGAAGGCGACUUUCUGGACCAAUACUGACGCUGAGGCGCGAAAGCGUGGGGAGCAAACAGGAUUAGAAACCCUAGUAGUCC
rnacentral:rRNA from 1 species